rnacentral:tRNA from 1 species
UGCUCUGUGGUUUAGUUGGUUCAAGCGCCAGGCUAGCGACACGGAGUCAUGGGUUCAAAUCCCACCGAAACAA